rnacentral:rRNA from 1 species
CAUGGCCCUUACGACCAGGGCUACACACGUGCUACAAUGGCGCAUACAAAGAGAAGCGACCUCGCGAGAGCAAGCGGACCUCAUAAAGUGCGUCGUAGUCCGGAUUGGAGUCUGCAACUCGACUCCAUGAAGUCGGAAUCGCUAGUAAUCGUGGAUCAGAAUGCCACGGUGAAUACGUUCCCGGGCCUUGUACACACCGCCCGUCACACCAUGGGAGUGGGUUGCAAAAGAAGUAGGUAGCUUAACCUUCGGGAGGGCGCUUACCACUUUGUGAUUCAUGACUGGGGUGAAGUCGUAACAAGGUAACCGUAGGGGAACCUGCGGUUGGAUCACCUCCUUACCUUAAAGAAGC